rnacentral:rRNA from 1 species
GGGGAACGAGUAUCGGAUUACUGGGCGUAAGCGUGCGUAGGCGGCUUUUUAAGUCGGAUGUGAAAUCCCCGAGCUUAACUUGGGAAUUGCAUUCGAUACUGGGAAGCUAGAGUAUGGGAGAGGAUGGUAGAAUUCCAGGUGUAGCGGUGAAAUGCGUAGAGAUCUGGAGGAAUACCGAUGGCGAAGGCAGCCAUCUGGCCUAAUACUGACGCUGAGGUACGAAAGCAUGGGGAGCAAACAGGAUUAGAUACCCUGGUAGUCCAUGCCGUAAACGAUGUCUACUAGCCGUUGGGGCCUUUGAGGCUUUAGUGGCGCAGCUAACGCGAUAAGUAGACCGCCUGGGGAGUACGGUCGCAAGGCUAAAACUCAAAUGAAUUGACGGGGGCCCGCACAAGCGGUGGAGCAUGUGGUUUAAUUCGAUGCAACGCGAAGAACCUUACCUGGCCUUGACAUACUAGAAACUUUCCAGAGAUGGAUUGGUGCCUUCGGGAAUCUAGAUACAGGUGCUGCAUGGCUGUCGUCAGCUCGUGUCGUGGGAUGUUGGGUUAAGUCCCGCAACGAGCGCAACCCUUUUCCUUACUUGCCAGCAUUUCGGAUGGGAACUUUAAGGAUACUGCCAGUGACAAACUGGAGGAAGGCGGGGACGACGUCAAGUCAUCAUGGCCCUUACGGCCAGGGCUACACACGUGCUACAAUGGUCGGUACAAAGGGUUGCUACACAGCGAUGUGAUGCUAAUCUCAAAAAGCCGAUCGUAGUCCGGAUUGGAGUCUGCAACUCGACUCCAUGAAGUCGGAAUCGCUAGUAAUCGCGGAUCAGAAUGCCGCGGUGAAUACGUUCCCGGGCCUUGUACACACCGCCCGUCACGCCAUGGGAGUUUGUUGCACCAGAAGUAGGUAGUCUAACCGCAAGGAGGACGCUUACCACGGUGUGGCCCGAUGACUGGGGUG